GCCUGGCUGGCUCAGUAGGAAUAGCAUGUGACUCUUGAUCUUGGGGUCAUGAGUUCGAGCCCUAUGCUGGGUG
rfam:Ailuropoda melanoleuca scaffold1876_13, whole genome shotgun sequence.